rnacentral:rRNA from 1 species
UUAGAGUUUGAUCAUGGCUCAGGACGAACGCUGGCGGCGUGCUUAACACAUGCAAGUCGAGCGGAAAGGCUUCCUUCGGGAAGUACUCGAGCGGCGAACGGGUGAGUAACACGUGGAUAAUCAACCUCUUGCUCUGGAAUACCCCGGGGAAACUCGGAUCAAUGCCAGAUAAAGUGCGGUGCUGUCGGGCGCCGUACCAAAGAUAGCUUCGGCCUUCGGCGAGAGACGAGUCCGCGGCCCAUUAGCUAGUUGGCGGGGUAAUGGCCCACCAAGGCUACGAUGGGUAGCUGGUCUGAGAGGAUGAUCAGCCACACUGGGACUGAGACACGGCCCAGACUCCUACGGGAGGCAGCAGUGGGGAAUCUUGCGCAAUGGGCGAAAGCCUGACGCAGCAACGCCGCGUGCGGGAAGACGGCCUUCGGGUUGUAAACCGCUUUCAGGGGAGACGAAGCUUCCAAGGUUAAUAGCUUUGCGGAGUGACGGUAUCUUCAGAAGAAGUCCCGGCUAACUACGUGCCAGCAGCCGCGGUACGCC